CGCGUAGGCGGCUCGCCAAGCGUGUGGUGAAAGCCCGGGGCUCAACUCCGGGUCGGCCAUGCGAACUGGCGGGCUGGAGCACGGUAGAGGCCAAUGGAAUUCCGGGUGUAGCGGUGGAAUGCGUAGAGAUCCGGAAGAACACCGGUGGCGAAGGCGGUUGGCUGGGCCGUGGCUGACGCUGAGGCGCGACAGCGUGGGGAGCAAACA
rnacentral:rRNA from 1 species